rnacentral:misc_RNA from 1 species
UUAAGUUCAGCGGGUAUCCCUACCUGAUCCGAGGUCAACCUUGAGAUGGUUCUCCCUGAGGGGAGGCAGACCGUUGCCCGUGAACCCGCGUCCGAUACGUGCUCGGUGAAGAACUCAGUGUACCGGGGGUCCUACGAGGCCGCCGUCAUUGUCUUUAGGAGGGGUGAGCGGGCCACGAGGGCCUCCACCAGCCGUCCAAC